UGGGGAAUAUUGCACAAUGGGCGCAAGCCUGAUGCAGCAACGCCGCGUGAGGGACGACGGCCUUCGGGUUGUAAACCUCUUUUAGUAGGGAAGAAGCGAAAGUGACGGUACCUGCAGAAAAAGCACCGGCUAACUACGUGCCAGCAGCCGCGGUAAUACGUAGGGUGCAAGCGUUAAUCGGAAUUACUGGGCGUAAAGCGCACGUAGGCGGACAUUUAAGUCAGGGGUGAAAUCCCGGGGCUCAACCCCGGAACUGCCUUUGAUACUGGGUGUCUUGAGUGUGGAAGAGGUAAGUGGAAUUGCGAGUGUAGAGGUGAAAUUCGUAGAUAUUCGCAGGAACACCAGUGGCGAAGGCGGCUUACUGGUCCAUUACUGACGCUGAGGUGCGAAAGCGUGGGGAGCAAACAGGAUUAGAUACC
rnacentral:rRNA from 1 species